rnacentral:lncRNA from 1 species
UCCUAUUAACAAAAAGAAGAAAAAGCCUGCUGGUCUUAGUGGCACUCUGUGAACAGGACUGCAUAAUUUUCUUUUAUUGAAUUCAUUCCUAUCUCUUCAUGUGGUUCUGAGAAGUGUGGCCCAAGGACAUUUUCCUUCUUGAUUGGAGACAGGUUCCUCCCUGACUCAAACUGCCCAUUUGGGCCGAGAAGCCUAUUCUGAGAGACCCCUGCUGUGGAGAGGAGGGAAUACAGCUCUCUGUUCCAGGAGAUCUUGAGAGAAGAUGAAUCUUGUGGACAUCAGGGAGAAGAUAAACCAUUGGCUUCUCAACUUCCAGCACUUUUCAUCCUAUGGGCAGCCAUGAGAUCUUGUGCAGUAGAGAUGGGAGCAGAUGGUAUCUUAACACUUGGACAGACAAAGGAUGCUGACCACAGAUCUCACUCAUGGGCCUGCGUGAAUCCUGUAUCACCACCAUCGUUAAAGUUUCUCUCCGUUGAAGCCCUCUGUGGAACAAGACACAUCUCAAAGCUUCUCUCUGCUUCUUCUGCAUCUCAGAUUUACCAUCUGAUUGAGAUGAGAUGGCUGGAUGGCAUCACCGACUCGAUGGACAUGAGUUUGAGUAAACUCUGGGAGUUGGUGAUGGACAAGGAGACCUGGCGUGCUGCGAUUCAUGGGGUCGCAAAGAGUCGGACACGACUGAGCGACUGAACUGAUUGACUGAUGUUUUAAAACUAAUUUCAGAAAUCACUGGUGCACCACGUUCACCAUAUCUCUGGGGAAAGGAGACGCCAACCUGAGGAGCAACCAUGGGUUGUAAAUGUAGAUAAUCAAGAGCUUGGCCACACCCACCAUCCCUGUGGUCUUACUUUGGUUUGUCCUCAUUCAUUCUGUCUUGAGAUUCAGUUUCUUGUCUGAAUCCAUCGCCUUGCUCUUUUGGGGGCGAUAAACAAUUUCCGUUCAGGCCUUCUUGGACAUCACUUCUAUUUAUUUCACAAUCUGGAACUACUGAGGGUGGUUCCUCGGGUGGAGGAUAAAUCAGAAUUCACUCAGAACCAAAGAGGCAGGGUGAUAUAAGGGAGGGUUUUUAUCUGUGCUAGUGUUUGCUUUGGUGGUACAUACACUUAAAAUGAUUUUAAGUAUUAAAUCAUGCAUGCAAGGCAGGAAAGAGUUAAUCUGUCCCAGCCCCAUAGCGGAGAAGCAUGGGGAAACAUUAGCCAUCUUUGGGGAUAUUCUGUGUUCCAGGAGCUCUAGUAAACACUUUGCAUCUAGUAACUCAAUGACGCCUCACACUCACCAUACUAUGUGUUAGAAACAAUUCUUUUCCUUCAGUUUUCAGAUGAGGACACUGACACUAAAAACUUUUAGCA